UACUAAGGUAUUAGGUGGAGUCAGUAUCAUGCAAGAGGAAGCCAAAAGCAAACCAAAGUUCUGGAGAGCAGAAGCUGGGAGCUCACAGGAAAGCAGGAUGGGAAAGAAAUAGAGAGACAAGCUAUGGAUGGAGAUGGUGGAGCCCAAGGGCCAGACGAAGGGGAAGGACGCACACACAUGCUCCUUGUCACCUCCUGGGAACUCUGAACAGAUUGUGCUCAAUUUGGAGGAGUCCAUCAUAACUUUCAAUGGAAGUGUUCAGGGCUGCAAUUGCUCCUGACUGCUGUUGCUUGAGAAGAGACCCAGGCCCCAUCCAGGAACUGAGAUAGCCACUUGGCUGUAUGCCUACGGAUAUUAAACCCUGGAGGAUGGGACUAGGCUUUGCUUGGGGUCUCAUUCGGCCUGGCCCCUUCCUCACGCUCCGACUCUGUUCCCACUGGGCAAAGCCACAGCACUAUUCACUUUUUUCCUUAUCGGAAUGUCCUGUGACUUCAGAUUCUGAAAUGGCUGAAAACCGUCAAGAACUUCUAUUUUAUUUGAUUGCCAACAAUGAGAUAAGCAGCUCAGCUCCUGAUCUACACUGAGUGAACUAUGAAAUUUGAAUAAGAAAUAUGAACCUUUGGGUACCUUCUUGUGUGAAAAUUGUCAUCUUUCUAGUCCAAAGGUACGUCUCUGGGGACUGUAAUCCUAUGUGCAUUAUGAAAUGAUGUGGGAUAAGCCCUGUAGAGGAAGAACAGAAUACCAUCUAACUUGCAGUCAUCAUCUGGGAUAGUAACUGUCUUAAGUGGUAAAAAAUUACUGUCAGUGCUUUCUAGAGCCAUUAGGAACUUGCUGCACCCUGGAGUGCCGUGAGCCAUAAAAGCAGAGUGGAGAUAAACACACCCUGGGGUGUCAUGAGCUGUGAAGCACAGAUGUGUUCACCCAUAUUAUGAUAACCAUUGCUUAGAGAAAUCCUGUUUUGAGUAAAAGAAGAAAAAGAAGGAAAAAUGCCUUUUGCUAUGCAAUAAAGAUGUAGCAGUUUAAUCUCUCA
rnacentral:lncRNA from 1 species